GAAGCCCGCCAGACCGCCGCUGGUGCAAGUGCCGAAAGGCCGCACUGGAGGAACGUCCGGACUGCACAGGGCAGCGUAGCAGGCAACACCUGUCCACCGCGAGGUGAGGAUCAGAGCAACAGAGACGAGUCGCCUCGGGGCCGCAAGGUUCCGGGGCGGGUGAAACGGGCAAUCUCUACGCGCAGCAAUACCAAGUAGGCCAGCGUCGACCUGUGUCCCGGGGAGCUGGCGGGUAGGUAGCACCGAGCCGGUGGGGCGACCCCCGGCCCAGAGGAAUGGCGGUCACGCCGCGCUCCGGCAACGGGGCGCGGCGCACAGAAUCCGGCGUACCGGCGGACUUCACAC
rnacentral:RNase_P_RNA from 2 species